GACGAACGCUGGCGGCGUGCUUAACACAUGCAAGUCGAACGGAAAGGCCCUGCUUUUGUGGGGUGCUCGAGUGGCGAACGGGUGAGUAACACGUGAGUAGCCUGCCCUUGACUUUGGGAUAACUUCAGGAAACUGGGGCUAAUACCGGAUAGGAGCUCAUGCUGCAGGGUGGGGGUUGGAAAGUUUCGGCGGUUGCGGAGGGACUCGCGGCUAACAAGCUUGUGGGUGGGGGAGUGGCUUACCAAGGCUUUGACGGGUAGCCGGCCUGCGAGGGGGACCGGCCACAUUGGGGCUGUGAUACGGCCCAGACUCCUACGGGAGGCAGCAGUGGGGAAUAUUGCACAAUGGGCGGAAGCGUGAUGCAGCAACGCCGCGUGCGGGAGGAGGGCCUUCGGGUUGUAAACCGCUUUCGCCUGGGACGAGGCGUGAUUGCCGGUAAUGGGUAAAGAAGCACCGGCUACCUACGU
rnacentral:rRNA from 1 species